GCCUAACACAUGCAAGUCGAACGGCACCUUCGGGUGUAGUGGCGGACGGGUUAGUAACGCGUGGGAACGUACCCUUUUCUACGGAAUAGUCUCGGGAAACUGAGGUUAAUACCGUAUACGCCCUUUGGGGGAAAGAUUUAUCGGAGAAGGAUCGGCCCGCGUAAGAUUAGAUAGUUGGUGGGGUAAUGGCCUACCAAGUCUACGAUCUUUAGCUGGUUUGAGAGGAUGAUCAGCAACACUGGGACUGAGACACGGCCCAGACUCCUACGGGGGGCAGCAGUGGGGAAUCUUAGACAAUGGGCGCAAGCCUGAUCUAGCCAUGCCGCGUGAGUGAUGAAGGCCUUAGGGUCGUAAAGCUCUUUCGCCUGUGAAGAUAAUGACGGUAGCAGGUAAAGAAACCCCGGCUAACUCCGUGCCAGCAGCCGCGGUAAUACGGAGGGGGUUAGCGUUGUUCGGAAUUACUGGGCGUAAAGCGCACGUAGGCGGAUCAGAAAGUUGGGGGUGAAAUCCCGGGGCUCAACCUCGGAACUGCCUCCAAAACUACUGGUCUUGAGUUCGAGAGAGGUGAGUGGAAUUCCGAGUGUAGAGGUGAAAUUCGUAGAUAUUCGGAGGAACACCAGUGGCGAAGGCGGCUCACUGGCUCGAUACUGACGCUGAGGUGCGAAAGCGUGGGGAGCAA
rnacentral:rRNA from 1 species